rnacentral:rRNA from 1 species
GACGAACGCUGGCGGCGUGCUUAACACAUGCAAGUCGAACGGAAAGGCCCUGCUUGCAGGGUGCUCGAGUGGCGAACGGGUGAGUAACACGUGGGUGAUCUGCCCCUUACUUUGGGAUAAGCCUGGGAAACUGGGUCUAAUACUGGAUAGGACCAUGCUGUAGGUGGUGUGGUGGAAAGAUUAGUUUCGGUAAGGGAUGGGCUCGCGGCCUAUCAGCUUGUUGGUGGGGUAAUGGCCUACCAAGGCGUCGACGGGUAGCCGGCCUGAGAGGGUGGACGGCCACAUUGGGACUGAGAUACGGCCCAGACUCCUACGGGAGGCAGCAGAGGGGAAUAUUGCACAAUGGGCGCAAGCCUGAUGCAGCGACGCCGCGUGGGGGAUGACGGCCUUCGGGUUGUAAACUCCUUUCAGCCAUGACGAAGCCCUUGUGGUGACGGUAGUGGUAGAAGAAGCACCGGCUAACUACGUG